CAGACACGGGUGACGCGCAGCGCGCAGGCGGGCAGGUCGAGCAGCAUGGCCCCGGUGACGCCGCUCUCUGCGGGGACGAGCACACGCCAUGGAGGAACCUGCGGUGCAGCAGUGGAUGUGGAUUGAAGGAGAUGCAGCCCACGGAGCUCCACAGGAGCAGGGCCUGGGCCGGAGCUGCAGCCCAUGGGGAAGAGCUGCAAGGAGCAGAAGGGCUGGGGAAGCCGGAGCAGUGCCCAAAGGAUGGGCCCCAUGAUAUCGAGCCACAGUGGAGCAAUGCUUGGAGAGCUGCAGCCCAUGGAAAGCCCACGUGGGAUCAGCUCGGGAAGGACAGCAUCUAUGGGAGGGACCUCUGGUGGUAUCAGAUGAGCAGAGGCCCUGUUCUUAUCCCAGCCCCACAGUAUUUUUUCAUUGCAUUUUCUCUUCCCCCCACCACAGCGGGCAAUGGGAGCACAGCCUGCUGGGUCUCAGGCAUGCAGCCCUGCUUCAAACAGCCGAACAGCUGUGAAGCCUUGCGCUCUCAUCACAAACUCCUGAAAGAUGUAGCAAAAAUAAAGAAACAAACUUCCUC